rnacentral:rRNA from 1 species
UACAGCGGUCCCAAGCGUUGUUCGGAUUCAUUGGGCGUAAAGGGUGCGUAGGCGGCGCGGUAAGUCGGGUGUGAAAUCUCGGAGCUUAACUCCGAAACUGCAUUCGAUACUGCCGUGCUUGAGGACUGGAGAGGAGACUGGAAUUUACGGUGUAGCGGUGAAAUGCGUAGAUAUUGGGAGGAACACCAGUGGCGAAGGCGGCUCGCUGGACCGGUUCUGACGCUGAGGCGCGAAAGCGUGGGGAGCAAACGGG